GACGAACGCUGGCGGCGUGCUUAACACAUGCAAGUCGAACGGUAAGGCCCUUCGGGGUACACGAGUGGCGAACGGGUGAGUAACACGUGGGUGAUCUGCCCUGCACUUCGGGAUAAGCCUGGGAAACUGGGUCUAAUACCGGAUAGGACUCCGGACUGCAUGGUCUGGGGUGGAAAGCUUUUGCGGUGUGGGAUGGGCCCGCGGCCUAUCAGCUUGUUGGUGGGGUGAUGGCCUACCAAGGCGACGACGGGUAGCCGGCCUGAGAGGGGGACCGGCCACACUGGGACUGAGAUACGGCCCAGACUCCUACGGGAGGCAGCAGUGGGGAAUAUUGCACAAUGGGCGCAAACCUGAUGCAGCGACGCCGCGUGAGGGAUGACGGCCUUCGGGUUGUAAACCUCUUUCAGCACCGACGAAGCGCAAGUGACGGUAGGUGCAGAAGAAGGACCGGCCAACUACGUGCCAGGCGCCGCAGUAA
rnacentral:rRNA from 1 species